UAUGGCUUAACCAUAGAACUGCUUGGGAAACUGGUAAUCUAGAGUGAGGGAGAGGCAGAUGGAAUUGGUGGUGUAGGGGUAAAAUCCGUAGAGAUCACCAGGAAUACCCAUUGCGAAGGCGAUCUGCUGGAACUCAACUGACGCUAAUGCGUGAAAGCGUGGGGAGCAAACAGGAUUAGAUACCCUGGUAGUCCACGCCCUAAACGAUGUAUACUAGUUGUUGCUAAGCUAGUCUUGGCAGUAAUGCACCUAACGGAUUAAGUAUACCGCCUGGGGAGUACGGUCGCAAGAUUAAAACUCAAAGGAAUAGACGGGGACCCGCACAAGCGGUGGAGCAUGUGGUUUAAUUCGAAGAUACGCGAAGAACCUUACCCGGACUUGAUAUCUAACAAAUCAUCUAGAGAUAGAAGAGUGUCUGCUUGCAGAAAUGUUAAGACAGGUGCUGCACGGCUGUCGUCAGCUCGUGUCGUGAGAUGUUGGGUUAAGUCCCGCAACGAGCGCAACCCACGUCAUUAGUU
rnacentral:rRNA from 1 species